rnacentral:rRNA from 1 species
GAUGAACGCUGGCGGCGUGCCUAAUACAUGCAAGUCGAGCGAACGGACGAGAAGUUUGCGUCUCUGAUGUUAGCGGCGGACGGGUGAUUAACACGUGGAUAACCUACCUAUAAGACUGGGAUGAUUUCGGGAAACCGUAUCUAAUACCGGAUAAUAUUUUGAACCUCAUUGUUCAAAAGUUAAAUACGGUCUUUCUGUCACUUAUAGAUUGACCCGCGCUGCAUUAGCUAGUUGGUAAGGUAACGGCUUACCAAGGCAGCGAUGGAUAGCCGACCUGAGAGGGUGGUCGGCUACACGGGAACUGAGACACGGCCCAGACACCUACGCGAGGACACAGUAGAGAAUCCUACGCAAGGGGGGAGAGCGUGAUGGAGCAAAGCGGCGUGAGUGAUGAACGACUUCGGAUCGUAGAACUAUGUUAUUAGGGAGGAAGAAAUGUGUAAGUAACUGUGAAGAUAUUGACGGUACCUAAUCAAAAAGCCACGGCUAACUACGUG